UUGAACUUCACUUGGCUGGAUAAACUCUUCACAACACAAAAUUUCUUUGCUGGCACUGAAAACUAACCGUCUUUUAAUAAGAAUAAGGCAGUCGGUUUCCCUUGACUGUCAUUUCCUGCUUUAUUUUACAAAAACUACCAUCCGGCAUCAAGUGUACGUUCAGCUUCAGCUCCCCACUGCCACUCGCGUUUGGGACAAUCAACCCUUUGCAUGGACCAUUUUCACACGUUGGUCGUAUACUCGAGCAAUGCUUACUCCGCUCUGUCCACAACUUGCUCUCAGACUUUGUUCCGAAAGAAUAAAGUUUCCAUAAUUCGCAGUCUCUAAACUAGCACCAUUCUAUUUCUGAGUCACAAGUUGUAAAAACCUCAAGUUACAAUUAACACAGACCACAAUUCGAGUGGUUGGACAUCAGCGCAAGCGGUGGCGGAGUCUAGCCACAGAUAAGCAAGUACUCCACGAGAAGAACACCAUAGGACUGAGCAACAAUGCUUCUCCGAUGUCGAGAGAGGAACUAAACGCAACCAACCAUCAAACUAAUACCAUUUCAUUGCAUACCUUACAGCUAACAAAAGCAAGUAAUAAGAGGUGAACUAAACUAGCUGUAGCUGCAUUUCACGAGAAUGAAGGCAAUGCAGAAUGCAGCAAACCCCAUGUAAGACGACGCAAGUUGGGAGAAUGUCGAAUUGGAUUUAGGCUUGCCGUACAUACUUAAGUCCCGGUAUGCGAUAUACACAUGUACAGAAUCCAACUGCAUUACACAAGAUUACGUAGAAAACUGGUUCAUAUAGCAGCAGCCAUAGCGUAAGAGCCUUCAUCUAUUGCUCUUACCAUGAGACGAGCCGUGGUUAAAAGGAUAGCAUCAAAGGGAAGGGAAGACGAAGAAGAGGGGUGAAUAUUCUUCACAAGAAAUCUUGAAUAACAUGAAGACUUUUGUAGAAAGGUGUUGGUGUGUAUAAACGACUUGCAUGCAAUCCAAUGUGUAAAAGAUCUCCCUCGAGUCCACCAUCUCCAAUUUAGCCAACCCCACUUUUCAACUUUUGUAUAUCUGCGAUGUGAUAAUAAUGUAAGCACAAGUUACACGAGUCAACUCUUCUCCACAUUCACAUUGCGUGAAUAUCAUCAGUAUAACCAGCAAAAAUGGACCAACAAUUUUUAAAAACACUUUUAGUUGUGUAUGAAAUACUAAUCUAGUAUUUGCCUCUGAGACAUUAUUAAAUGAUGUUUUUUUUAUUUUAUUUUAAUUCUUUUAGAAGUGUAAAAUUUGAGGUAGAUUGAGACAUUUCUUUCAAUAUUUCGAGUUACGUGCUAUUAUAAAAAGAUGUUCCCAUGAGUGCAUUGCUGCGUAUGUAUUGUACAUAUCGUAUUUUACACCAACGGUCAAGUAAAUGAGGUGGCAUACGAUUUUUUAUGAACUAAAAGUUCAAAGAAAACCACCAGCAGUUGUAAUAUCAUAAAAAUCAGACCACGUGCAUUAAAAAGACAUUUCUAAUUAGU